AGGUUCGUAGUGACCUGCGGAGGAUCAUUAUCGAGUUUUGAACGGGUUGUAGCUGGCCUCUCACGAGGCAUGUGCACGCCUGGCUCAUCCACUCUUAACCUCUGUGCACUUUAUGUAAGAGAAAAAAAUGGUGGAAGCUUCCAGGAUCUCGCGAGAGGUCUUCGGUUGAACAAGCCGUUUUUCUUUCUUAUGUUUUACUACAAACGCUUCAGUUAUAGAAUGUCAACUGUGUAUAACACAUUUAUAUACAACUUUCAGCAACGGAUCUCUUGGCUCUCGCAUCGAUGAAGAACGCAGCGAAAUGCGAUAAGUAAUGUGAAUUGCAGAAUUCAGUGAAUCAUCGAAUCUUUGAACGCACCUUGCACUCCUUGGUAUUCCGAGGAGUAUGCCUGUUUGAGUCUCAUGGUAUUCUCAACCCCUAAACUUUUGUAAUGAAGGUUUAGCGGGCUUGGACUUGGAGGUUGUGUCGGCCCUUGUCGGUCGACUCCUCUGAAAUGCAUUAGCGUGAAUCCUACGGAUCGCCUUCAGUGUGAUAAUUAUCUGCGCUGUGGUGUUGAAGUAUUUAUGGUGUUCAUGCUUCGAACCGUCUCCUUGCCGAGACAAUCAUUUGACAAUCUGAGCUCAAAUCAGGUAGGACUACCCGCUGAACUUAAGCAUAUCAACUAAGCGGAGGAAAAGAAAGCUAAACAAAGGAUUCCCCUAGUAACUGCGAGUGAAGCGGGAAAAGCUCAAAUUUAAAAUCUGGCGGCUUUGGUCGUCCGAGUUGUAUUCUAGAGAAGUGUUUUCCGCGCUGGACCGUGUACAAAUUCUCCUAAAA
rnacentral:rRNA from 1 species